GAUGAACGCUGGCGGCGUGCCUAAUACAUGCAAGUCGAGCGAAGCGGGGACGGGUGAGUAACACGUGGAUAACAUCCUAUAAGACUGGGAUAAAUUCGGGGAACCGGAGCUAAACCGGAUACUUAUAGCUGGAUCCGCGCGGCAUUAGCUAGUUGGUAAGGUAACGGCUUACCAAGGCAACGAUGCAUCGCCGACCGGAGCUGGGGAUCGUCCACACGGGAACUGAGACACGGUCCAGACUCCUCCGGGGGGCAGCAGUAGGGAAUCAUCCGCAAUGUGCGAAAGCCUGACGGAGCAACGCCGCGUGAGUGAUGAAGGUCUUCGGAUCGUAAAACUCUGUUAUUAGGGAAGCGGUACCUAAUCAGAAAGCCACGGCUAACUACGUGGCAGCAGCCGCGGCGGUAAUUC
rnacentral:rRNA from 1 species